CCUGGAUGUUGCGCUGCGGUCGGGGAGGUUUCUCAACACCAAGUGCUGCUUCUGAGGCCUGCGUCGCUACGCUGAUAGCGUUGGUUACCACGACGACGGGUGACGGUAGAGCGAGUCUGGGGCCUCGUCUCCACAACUCCGCCUUCCACAAGUCCUGUUGGUGUAAUGUCCCCGCUGAAUGCCGCCGCGGGUUUAACCUCAUUUAUUCAGGUUCAUACUCUCAUUCUCAUUAAGCAGCGCCUUGGACCUCUGGAGUUUAUACUGAAGUGUUUCUGUUUUAAACUCUGAUCUGAAACCAGCCAAGAAACUGCUGCUGAAUUCUGCACAUCGGCUGCAACAAAUGGGACUCCUUAUGACCCCCUUGCCUUUCGUCUCAGGUCUCCUCCAGUGUUUGACACUUGUUUAGCCACCAGCUGUCCACAC
ensembl:lncRNA